AACGUAGGUGGCGAGCGUUAUCCGGAUUCAUUGGGCGUAAAGAGCUUGUAGGCGGCGUCAUAAGUUGGACGUGAAAACUCCGGGCUUAACUUGGAGAGGCCGUUCAAUACUGUGAGGCUAGAGGGUGUCAGAGGGAAGUAGAAUUCCUGGUGUAGCAGUGAAAUGCGCAGAUAUCAGGAGGAACACCGGUGGCGAAGGCGGGUCUCUGGGCAGUAACUGACGCUGAGGAGCGAAAGCGUGGGGAGCGAACAGG
rnacentral:rRNA from 1 species